UGAUGUUGGUGUCGAUGCAAGCCAAGGGCCAAGAAGGGUUUCUCAUGAUGAUGAAAUGUUGAAGAAUUGAAGCAAAAUCCAGCCUUAAUUCUCUUGCAUGUGUAGAGAUUCUACAUCAAAAAGCUAUAUGAAACAUGUGGAACGUGUCAAGGAGAGCUCAAGCAUAGGAGGAUAACGGGUCAAGAUAAGGCAAGGUGACAAAUACACUUAUUGGAGUACUCAAGGUAAGUGAUUUCUAUAAUCACUUCUUUAGUUGUUUAAGUAAUAUAAUGUUUUAAUUAUUAAGUUCAUAUGAAGUUGAGGUCAAAUCAAUAGAUUAUUUUGAUAAAUGCACGAAUGGGUCGAAUAAUUCAUAGAUGAAUAACAAGCCGAAUACGUAUAAGUUAAGAAAUUCCUUAACUCGGAUGUUGGACUUCAAGAUCACAUGAUAGAAUAUUAAAUUACAAUCAUAUAGGAAGAAACGUGACGCAAAACGGAUGAAAAAUGAGAGAGUUAUGUCCGUUUCGGUAAGGAUUAAUGGCUAGGAAAAGUGCAGAAUUGACACGGCCGGGUGGUGAACUGACACGGCCGGGUGAAGGUUCUGUCAAAAAUAUUAUUUAUGUGAUUUAUGCGCCGUAGGCUUCGGUAUAUUAUCCGUGAACUACGACGGGCCUCCCAAACAUGAUUUCGAGUGUUUCCUUGGCGAUUAUAAGUUGUAAACCCAAGUCUAAGCCUCAUGUAAUUUAUAUAAGAGUGUGAUAGAUGUAUGUAAUGAAGUUGGACACGUAUUAAAUGUAAAUGUAUACAAAAAUACGUACGGAACACGUAGAUAUGAAUACAUGAUUGUAGGUAUGAUUAAAUGUAUAUUAGGUAUGUAGAUGUGUAUGAUUGUAAGUUUGUAUGUGUGCAAGUAUGUGCGAAUGCAUGAUUUGGAUGCAUUUGAGAAUUAGCGUUACUAAUAAUGCCCUUGGGUUUGGAAUAUAAGUUAAUUGGAUGCAUUUAAAUGGUUGACGUCCUUUUUAUGAAGAUGUAGUAAAUGAAUAUGUUGAGAUUACGGGUUUGGCUAACCAAGUUAUUAUUGAGUAUGUUUGAAAGUGCAGGUUAUGAAUGUCGGACUUUCGAAGUGUUGAUAUAAUAAUGAAACGGUUGAAUGUUGAAAGGAUAAUCGGAUUGAAGUAACUUAUGCGGUUAGAAUAUGCUAUGGACGUUUUAGUUUAUACAACAUUUUAUGUUUGGUCGUCAUCAUCUACCAACGGGUUAGUUGUUUGAAAAUAUAUGUC
rnacentral:lncRNA from 1 species